rnacentral:rRNA from 1 species
UACGAAGGGGGCUAGCGUUGCUCGGAAUCACUGGGCGUAAAGGGUGCGUAGGCGGGUCUUUAAGUCAGGGGUGAAAUCCUGGAGCUCAACUCCAGAACUGCCUUUGAUACUGAAGAUCUUGAGUUCGGGAGAGGUGAGUGGAACUGCGAGUGUAGAGGUGAAAUUCGUAGAUAUUCGCAAGAACACCAGUGGCGAAGGCGGCUCACUGGCCCGAUACUGACGCUGAGGUGCGAAAGCGUGGGGGAGCAAACAGG